CCCCGCUUGCCCGGCCCCGCCGCCGCAGCGCAUCGCCCGUGCUCCGCUCCUUCAGACGGGAUGACGCCCGAAGGCCUCUCCAGCGCCACCUCGAGAGACCUACCCACCUCGUCGCCCCCUCUGCCGCAAGGAUGAUUUGGUAGCUUCCAGUGCCUGACUUGGUGUUAAAAUUUUGUGCAUAUGCGCCUCUCCAGUCUUGGGAUCCUUGAGGGCGCUCCAAGGGAAGGGCAACAUUCAUGGAGACUGGAUACUAAGCGGAUCACUUUCUAUGUGAUGGCAUAUAAUGAUACUUAUUGCGCGUUUGCUCUUCUUUACGCGUCCGGAAAACAUUCAGGCGCCAGUCGAAUCCACGGAGCCUCCGAGGGUGAGACGGAGAUGCGGGAGCCGACAGUUCAGCCGGCGUCGAAGGGUGAGUCUACGGGCAGACACGGGAGGAGGAAGAACAUGACUCUGGCUGUGGGAUGUAGAUCGGACGGUUGAGGGAAAUUUGAUUGAACCGGUUUCUUUUCUAGACGACUUUAGUGCUCACUCUGUCUCAAAAUGUAAGACCUUUUUUGAUAUCAUUUUGAUUUUGACAAAAACGUAAGACGUAUUUUGAUACUAUUUUGGUUUUGAGAAAAAUGUAAGAUACUAUUUUGAUUUUGAGACAUAAGAGAGAGUAUUUCCUUUCCACCGGGUCAACAAAACUGAGGGGUUGCAUUUUGGUGGGAUUGGGAACUCGACAGGAUGAUGAGCUCCUUCCGAAUCCCGGAUUGCGUAAGGGCCCGCUUGGAUCGUCGGUUCGGUCCUAAAUACCGGUGUAAUCGAUACAGACCUCGAGCUGUCGUUUUUAUUCCGAGCGGAAAGCACACUACGACCGGUAAUUUACACCUGUAAAUUAAAUUCGGGUGUAAAAGUUUACACCGAUUCCAAGCGGGCCCUAAGGGCUUUUCUUGAGAGGCAAGGGCCAUGUUCUCUGCCCGCGGCUGGGCUACACGGACCAGUAGAGUGCUAAUGCUUACUCCCUCCAUUCUACAAUGUAGUGCCUAUAGAU